GACGAACGCUGGCGGCGUGCUUAACACAUGCAAGUCGAACGGAAAGGCCCUGCUUUUGUGGAGUGCUCGAGUGGCGAACGGGUGAGUAACACGUGAGUAACCUGCCCUUGACUUUGGGAUAACUUCAGGAAACUGGGGCUAAUACCGGAUAGGAGCUCCUGCUGCAUGGUGGGGGUUGGAAAGUUUCGGCGGUUGGGGAUGGACUCGCGGCUUAUCAGCUUGUUGGCGGGGUAGUGGCUUACCAAGGCUUUGACGGGUAGCCGGCCUGAGAGGGUGACCGGCCACAUUGGGACUGAGAUACGGCCCAGACUCCUACGGGAGGCAGCAGUGGGGAAUAUUGCACAAUGGGCGGAAGCCUGAUGCAGCAACGCCGCGUGCGGGAUGACGGCCUUCGGGUUGUAAACCGCUUUCGCCUGUGACGAAGCGUGAGUGACGGUAAUGGGUAAAGAAGCACCGGCUAACUACGUG
rnacentral:rRNA from 1 species